GGCAUUUCAUCAGGAUCUUAGAGCACAGGUGGGCUCUUUUAGAAUUGGAGUAGCACGCCAUGGCCCUCAGCCUUACAUUCUGGGAUGCAGGGUUCCUGGGUUUCCUCCUAAAUGUGGUCUUAGAGAAUGAUGGUAAAUUUCAGGCUAUGGAGAAGAAAUGUCAAAGGAGAGGAAUCAUAGAAACUCCUAACCUGGCAAGAGGACUAAUUUUAGGUUUGAGACUCUGACCAAGGAGGAUAUAGAAGCUGAAUUUAGGGCCACAUUUGGAGGAUAUAUGGAAGGUGAUGCUGGACCUCAGUUGCUCCCUUGAGGCUGUGAGCUUCACACUGCUGCCAUCACUGCUGGACCAGAGAUGCAGGGAGGAUGGAGAGAGGGAGGAGGAAAAUGCUGAGGACUCUGUGUUAUUGAUGCCUUCAAAACUUGGAUGAGGCGGCUUCCUUCAGCUGUAACCAUUCUGCUCUUAAAUUCCUCUGAGUCUGAUCUUCCCCAAACCAAAACAAAGCCCUUUCUCCUUAAAACUAAUCAUUUUCUGCUGGCAGCUGGAAUACCUGCUGUCUUGUAGUUAUGUUCUUGCUCACAAAUGUAAAACAGUCUAAUACUGCCCACUUUUCAGUGCUAAGGCUGUAAUGCUGUUCCUGCCUGUUUGUUACAUUAGGAUAGAGAUUAGUCCAUGAUGUAGCCGGAGACAGAACAAUCCUGGUGAAGCCCUUCAAUACAUAACCCAAAUGUGAUUCAAAGGGACACAGCACACAUGCCACAGUGCCACGUGGUGCAUGUGUAAAAGAUAUCAAGGAAUAUUCAUGAGCAGAGAAGGAUCAGAAUACACUGAUCUCCACGUUCUCACUGUCCCAUGAAGGGUUCGCUUAGGCUGGCACAGUGGACUGUAUUCCCAUGGCCAGUGUUCCAGGAGUGAGGACGCCCCAAAAUGCUCUGUGUAGUUACCGGGACAGCAAGACAGAGACAUCUGUGCUACUCUGAUACAAUAGCAGGUCCAUGGUCAAGGAUCUGAGCUUGUUAGAAAGUGGCAGUCCCUGGAGCUCAGUGCCUGGCGUCAGCCUGUUCUUCUGAAGAGCAGAUUCAGACCUGCUGACCCAAAUCCCUAGUCUGAUAACAAGAGUGGAGGGAAGGAGCCUCCAGGGCAUCUAGCUCUGGGUCUCAGCACAUUUCCAGGCUCUGGCUACAACUGCUCACCAGGCUUUCCAGCCCCUGCAAAGACCCUCUCAAGCAUUUCCAAGAGCACCAAGUGGUUACUUCCAAAGUUACCUCUUAAUUCUCCAUUUUCUUCUCCAGUAUACUCCCACAACUUAUUGAUGUUCUUCCAGGCAAUACACCUUUUCCACUUUGUUAUGCUAAACAACAUAACAGUUUAUUCAAUCCAUUCUCAAUGAAAAAGUUUUAAUUUUCCCCCCCUGAUAAUGGCUUCCCACUCUGCUGUGUUUAACCUUUCU
rnacentral:lncRNA from 1 species